GGACUGUGCCUUAAUUUCCCUUUUAUCUUCUCUCUUGAAGAAAAACUUGAAGGCACACCAGCAUCAAAGAAAGCGCCUGAAGAAACUGAAGAUACAUCCUCCACAAAGAAGCAAAAAAGUCCCAUCAGUUUCUUCCAAUGCGUCUACUUGGAUGGGUACAACGGCUACGGAUUUCAGUUUCCUGUCACUCCUGCACACCGCCCUGGAGAAAACUCUGGCAACCCAAGUUCUCCCAGGCAGAAGCAUCAAGGACAAUAAACACAUAAGCCCAGCCCUUCCACAUAAUUACGAUUUUGAAAACGCGGUCUUAUGCCUAUUGCAGCAAAGGCGAUUGAAAUUAUGUGUGAAUUCACGAUCCAGGGAAUUUCUUUGAGAGUUUUCUGCACUUCUCCUGUGUGGAGAGAGAGGGGUUGGAAUUAGUGAUACUGAAAUAAUUCUUUCCGGUCCGGUCCUCAAAAAUCUUUGUGUGGGUGUGUUUAUUGCUGGUCAGUGGUGCUGAUAUUUUUCUAUUGCCAUUCACCAUAGGGUUGUAUACAAUUUAAUGUUUACUUAAUAAGGUCCUUUUCCAGGUAAUUGGUACAAUUACAAAAUGAAACUCUGGCCUCCGUUAGAUGUUAAUUUUUAACUGAUAACCUAGACUGUGGUCUAAAUGUAAAAGCACAAGAAAACCAAAAGAAAAUCAUAAACACAAUUGCUCAGAUGGGAAUUAGAGAGGUUUUACUAGAAAAUUGAAUCUAAUGUCUUAGUUUUAUUGAUGCCUGUUUCUAGCUUAAUUGUGGAUGUAUUCUAAGAAUGUGCAACAGUUGUACCAAAGCCUGUUAUAACUUCUUUAUGAUGCUCUCUUAGAGCUCAAAAUAUCACUCAAAAUUAGAUGUGAUGAGACGGAGAAGAAUGUUUGAUGGAUUUUUCUCUAAGAUCUGUCAAAUGGCAAUCAGGCCAUUCACGCCAGUGUAAACACACUAUCCCAAUAGGCAGGAACAUUAAUCAUUUAUUUAAAAUACAAUCAAGUGAAAUGGGGAAUUGUAGAUUUUUCCAACCUGUGCCCUGACAUAACCUGGGUGAGAUUUUAUAUUACUCACUAAAUUUGAGUGAUAGAUGCAGACAUAUUUCAUUAACUUCAAUAUAUUUUCAAAGGAGCUAGUGAAGAUUUAUUUCUCCACAUAGGAAAACUGUGAAUGCCAUCAAUGUUUGAAAAACUGUUAUCCAUGAAUGACUUCAUGAGAAGUCUUGCCUUUGUUU